rnacentral:lncRNA from 15 species
CUGUCAAUGGCCAAACUACAAUUAGCCAGACUUAGCUAACAGUUCUUGUUAAAUAACAUUCAAGCACAAGGCCUGGCCAGGCGUCCAUGCUCGUCAGGAGAUAUACAGAAAGCUUAUUUAGGGUGGAAAAAAGAAGCUUUAUCGUACAGUUGUUUGAACCAUUUUCUAAAAUACUGUCUUAAAAAUUGGGCACAUGUUUUUCUAACUUUACAAAAUUACUGCCCUUGGUGGAGAAAGAUUUUUAUGACCACAAAUAAAUACAACUGCAGUGCCUUCCUCAAGAAUACAGUCAUUUAAAUCUCUGAGUGAUUUUACCUCCCCCCUCCCCUUUAUUUGACAGCGCAGCUUGAGAGAUGGACAGGACAGGACACAGUGAGAGAGACAGAGGGAGUGAGUGGAUGGCAACCAGCAAAGGGCCACAGGGUCGCACUCAAACCUAUCCCCUGGUAGCAUACAUGCGCCAGCUCCACCAGCGAUGCCAUUUCACACUCAGUUACCCACAACUUGGACAUGACCAGCUUCACCGGAGCAUUUGAGGCAUGAGUGAAUUUGGAGGGGGCAUUUCCACAGUAGUCUCUGAGCAAAGGGAGCACGUUUCCAGGUCAAGCUUUUCCCAUCAUUCCGUUUUUUCCGUUAUCUACCAAUUGUACUGUCUUUUGUUGUCCUCAGUCCCAAAUAGGCUUGCAUGGACACACAGUGGACUUCUGCAUUCAUAAUUUUGUGUCCUGGGCAGAUGUGCAAGCAGUGUCAGGUUCCUCAAUAUUUAAUACUUGUUGUAAGUAAACAUGUCAUCAGGAAGUAUUACCUUUGACCACCAUGGUUGGGUAGUGUGGUAAACAGUGGCCACUGUUUAAUGUCAGGCUGCCAAAAACCACAAAUCAGCACAAAGCCAAAACUGACAGUUGUUUUCACAGGGAUUCACUGGGGCUGCAUCAUUAUGAUUUUUUCUGUCAGGGUUGGUUGUCUAUUUACUUUAUUUUAGUUUCUUUACUCGGGGAAGAGGACAGACAGACAAGGGGAGACACUGUGAUGCGAUUGAGUUUGAAGGUCCAUAUGUGGUUCCAAAGGAAGAAGGUAACCACUAUCUCUGUACUUUUGCUGAGGGGAACAAACAGACGAAGUGAGAGGUCUUGUUGUUGAAAAGGGUUGCGCUCUGAGGUUUUUCCCACGUGUCCUUUCCGUAGGGCAAGCUACCCUCAUUGGAUCCUGCCUGUGAAUAAUCCCAGAGUCAAAAUCCAAGGUUUCAACCACAGUGCUGUUCGGUCAAUCUACAGUAUGACUCAUCUUUCCCAAUACAAGUCUCCAAAAACAACAAAACUUGUAUUUGGAAACACACAACCCCAUGUCGUCACUGAUAGCUUUUGCAUACUUUUCUAGUUAAGCUCACUCCCCAAAUUUAAACACUAUAGAAACGAUGUGUUCUGUGGUUUCUCUAAACUCCCCCUUUCCUCCAGCUAGUGUCAGAGGCAGUUCAUAUUGGUGCGGCAGAAAUGGGAUAAAGUAUUUCAGCAAAUAUACAUCCUGACAGUCCAUAGAUCAGAGAGGGAGGGAGCACUUCUAUGCGUGUUCACCAGAGUGAGCGGCAGUGUCACAAAGGACGUUUUCCAUGCUCCCUCCUCUUUUCACCUCAAUUUAUUAUUGUUGGACAGGUUUUUCUAUCAGUGUGGCCUAACAUGUAGCUUUUUUAAGCAUUCUUAGCACCCCUCUCAAACAAUCUGUUUUUCUUCUUUGUCUGGAGAAAGUAGUAAGAAAGUAAGAAAGUAUGAUUAUUAUAUUUUCAAGAUUUUACAUGUUAAAACAAAGAGAAAUUCCUGAAGUGGAACCCCCCAUGUGUCAGGCAUUGAUCAGUUCUGGUUCUCAUUCUCCUAUGUGAGUAGUGUAAACAAACCUCCCCCUGUCCUUGGAGCUCCCAGGCUGGGUAGAGUCAGCUAAUAGUGCCGCUAUGUAGCUAAUAGCAGCUAGUGCUGUGUUACAAGAGGAAAGGUCAGUAUUGCAACAGGCCCACUGAUACUUAAGUCCUCGUGACAAGGCGCAGCUCCUGAACGGAGUUUAAAGUUGUUUUUGUUGUUUUGCGACUAUCUAAUGAAAGUGGGUUGACUAAGAGUCUUCUCUCUCUUAUGAAACCAAUAGUAUGUGAAUUGCAUACUAUUUUACUGGGAAAGUAUGCGAGUGCUGGUUUGAACUUAUUUUUUAUUAUUACAGAGGGAGAGUAACGUACCGCUGAGGACCGAUACCGAAUUCCAGGUACUGGUACGAGUAUUGAUUCAAAUGUGAAUGGCUCCCAACUCUAAUUAGAAUAGAAACAUGAUUUAAGUGAAAUUGUUAAUCUCAUGUUCACUUUAUCUAAAAUUAAAUUACAGAGGGAAAUAACUUAUUACACACAAAGCAUUUUUUUCUGUGGCAAAGUCACUGCAUGAUUAAGAAUACGAUCUAACAUACAAGUUGGCACCUCCAACUGUCACUUGAGGACAUUAUUAGUUUUUCAUUCACAGUCUGACCUCCAGUUGCCAACUGGACACUUUUAGCAGUCUGUGAGACACCUUGCCAGACUUAUUUCUCAGAAGUCUUAAAUUAGUAUGAAACUGUAUUCCCAAAGCAAUUGCCAACAUUUUUUUUAUUCCUGAUGCAUGUACAAUAAGUGUGCUAUAUUCUCCAAUCCAAAGAAAUCUGAUCAGUACUUGAUCUCCCUCAAUAGGGAACACACAGACUUAAUCUAAUUUGUCCAAUUAAGUAGGACUUGAGGUCAACCUCAAGGAAGAAGAUAUCUUUUGAUUUGUCUUUUAUUAGUUAAACAACACCAGUAAAUAACAAACCAGAAUAACAGAAAUUUCUGUAUGCAUUUGACAAAAUGUAAUAUAAUGAUUAUCAGAAAAUAUUUUUUAAUGUUUCCUGGCUAAUGUGUCCCUUGUGCCUGCAGGUUUUUUUUUUACCAAACUUUUUUUUUUACUUCACAAGUUAAUCCAGGAACAACCAAAAUUCACAAUAUUACAGGGUAACAUCCUUGCACACUCUGCACUUGCUUGUCACAUUUAAUGUACACUAUCAGUCAUAAGACCAUUUAAGCACAAUUAUGAGAAGCACAGACAUCAAACAAUAUGUUUAACUUGUAAGUGAUGAGGUAUUCUUUUUUGAAUACUGUUCAUUCAUGCUGUAAACAUAUAAUAAAUAUUAAAUGCUAUAUAAUAUGUCUAUAUAUUAUUUAUUUAUAUAUAUAUAUAUAUAUAUAUAUAUAUAUAUAUAUAUAUAUAUAUUCNNNNNNNNNNNNNNNNNNNNUGACUUAAAAUGUCCUAAGAAAUA